GCAUACCAGCAUACCAGCAUUAAUGCAGUGGAUCCCAUUAGAACUAUGCAGUUAAGCGCGCUUGGGAUAGAGUAGUACUGGGAUGGGUGACCUACUGGGAAGUCCUAGUGUGGCACCCC
rnacentral:rRNA from 1 species